AAUCAACGCUGGCGGCGUGCCUCAGACAUGCAAGUCGAACGAUUAAAGCUCCCUUCGGGGAGUGCAUAAAGUGGCGCACGGGUGAGUAACACGUAAGUAAUCUACCUCUGAGUGGGGGAUAACAUCGGGAAACCGAUGCUAAUACCGCAUAACGCAGCGGCACCGCAAGGUGACAGUUGUUAAAGAUUUAUCGCUUGGAGAGGAGCUUGCGGCAGAUUAGCUUGUUGGUAAGGUAACGGCUUACCAAGGCUACGAUCUGUAACCGGUCUAAGAGGGCGGUCGGUCACACUGACACUGAAUAACGGGUCAGACUCCUACGGGAGGCAGCAGUCGGGAAUUUUGGGCAAUGGGGGAAACCCUGACCCAGCGACGCCGCGUGAAGGAUGAAGUAUUUCGGUAUGUAAACUUCGAAAGAAUAGGAAGAAUUAAUGACGGUACUAUUUAUAAGGUCCGGCUAACUACGUGCCAGCAGCCGCGGUAAUACGUAGGGACCAAGCGUUGUUCGGAUUUACUGGGCGUAAAGGGCGC
rnacentral:rRNA from 1 species